UACAGAGGUCUCAAGCGUUGUUCGGAUUCAUUGGGCGUAAAGGGUGCGUAGGCGGCGCGGUAAGUCGGGUGUGAAAUCUUGGAGCUUAACUCCGAAACUGCAUUCGAUACUGCCGUGCUUGAGGACUGGAGAGGAGACUGGAAUUUACGGUGUAGCGGUGAAAUGCGUAGAUAUCGAGGGGAAGACCAGUGGCGAAGGCGGGUCUCUGGACAGUUCCUGACACUGAGGCACGAAGGCCAGGGGAGCAAACGGG
rnacentral:rRNA from 1 species